rnacentral:rRNA from 1 species
CAGCAGCCGCGGUAAUACGGAGGGUGCAAGCGUUGUUCGGAAUUAUUGGGCGUAAAGCGCGUGUAGGCGGUUUGUUAAGUCUGGUGUGAAAGCCCUGGGCUCAACCUGGGAAGUGCAUUGGAUACUGGCAAACUUGAGUACGGGAGAGGAUAGUGGAAUUUCGAGUGUAGGGGUGAAAUCCGUAGAUAUUCGAAGGAACACCGGUGGCGAAGGCGGCUAUCUGGACCGAUACUGACGCUGAGACGCGAAAGCGUGGGGAGCAAACAGGAUUAGAUACCCUGGUAGUCCACGCCGUAAACGAUGGGCACUAGGUGUCGCGGGUAUUGACCCCUGCGGUGCCGAAGCUAACGCAUUAAGUGCCCCGCCUGGGGAGUACGGUCGCAAGACUAAAACUCAAAGGAAUUGACGGGG